rnacentral:rRNA from 1 species
AUGCCCAGUGAGGGUACUUAUUAUAACAUAUUUAGGCUAGCUACUCCUCCGCUCGCCGCCCAUCUCCGCGGUCACGUGUGUCGUCCUCACAGUCAACGGCUUCGGCAAGGCAAGGAUGGAGGCUUCCCGUCCGAGUGCGACAGCACGUACCACGACGACUCAGAGAUGGUCGUCGCGCUCUCCAUCGGCUGGUUCAGCGGCAUGUCCCGCUGCGGCCGCAGCAUCAAGAUCACCGUGAAGGGUGGCAGCUCAUCCGUGUACGCCAAGGUGGUGGACGAGUGCGACUCCGUCCAUGGUUGCGACGCCGAGCACAACUACGAGGAGUGAUGCGCCUACAACGUCGUGGACGCUUCGCCGGCGGUGUGGGAUGCCCUGGGCCUCGACCAGAACAUCGGUUUGCAGGAUGUUACCUCGUCUGACGAGUGA